CUAGACUCAAAGAAUGCAAAACUAUACUUUAAAACACUAAAACAAACCAAAAGACUCAAAACAGCCCCUAAACAUUCAAAACUACCUUAAACACACAAUCUGGGCAGUUUUGGGACUCUAACACAAACUUGGACGAAUUUUGGUUUUCUAAUGAACUAAAACACUUAAAAACAUAAUCUAAGACAAGUUCUAAUUAAUAUGACUCAAAAGAAAUAAGAUGGGGUUGAUUUUGGACGAAAAUAAUUAAAUUAAGACAAGAACAAAGUAAACAAAUUCUUAGACAAAUUUAAGUGAAUCAAAAUAGAUUGUAAAAUGAAUUUGAAUGAAACUUAUGGAUGGAAGGCUAGCUAGGAGGUUCUUCUCCACACAUGUCACACUUGCAUACAAAACAAUUUCCAGUUGCUUUUCGAUAAGCUAUGAAUACUCAACGCCCCAAAUUAACCGUGAAUUGCACUAAUUAACCC
rnacentral:lncRNA from 1 species